rnacentral:misc_RNA from 1 species
AUGGACUCAAAGACCAGCCUCUCUCAGAAAAGAGCAGUCUCUCUCGAUCUGGAUUCUGGAAUGGCUUGUGAGGCAGAGGAUCAGAACCCUAGAUUCUUCAUUGCCGUUCAUGUCGGCGCGGGGUAUCACGCGCCGUCCAGUGAGAAAGCCCUAAGGUCCGCAAUGAAACGCGCUUGUCUCGCUGCUGCUUCCAUUCUUCGCAAGGGUUCUGGUAGAUGUCUAGAUGCUGUUGCAGCCGCCAUCCAAGUGUUGGAGGAUGAUCCCUCGACAAAUGCUGGCCGAGGCUCUAAUUUGACAGAAGAUGGCAGCGUGGAGUGUGAUGCUAGCAUUAUGGAUGGUGACUCCGGGGCAUUUGGAGCUGUUGGAGCAAUGCCAGGUGCCCUUAAGUCAUUAAUUUUAUCAUGUGAAAUGUGUUUGGAUGGCUGUCUCUUUAGCUUCUUUUGUAUAAAAUUUACUUUUUCAUGAGGUUACUGAAUAUAUAUUUCAUUAGUUGUAGACCAGGUGUCCGAAAUGCCAUCCAAAUUGCUGCCUUGUUGGUCAAGGAGCAAAUGAUUGGUUCUUCUUUGUUGGGUCGAAUACCUCCUAUGUAAUGAUCUUCAUUCUCUACUUUAGCAUGUUUUCCAUGAAUGAUUACACUUUCCUGCUUAUCUAUUAGCACACCUCAUAAUUCAUAAUAUUCAUGCUUCUUUUCCAUCUUCUUCCUCUUCAUUUCCUCUCUCUCCUUUGUGAUGGUUUUCUUAUGGAUCAUAUUGUGUCCCCAAGGUUCUUGGCAGGUGAAGGUGCCUAUCUAUGGGCAAAAUCCAAAGGCAUUGAUUUGCCAGCAUCCAUAGCAGAGGCUAAUAAGUGGCUAGUGACAGAAAGGGCAAAAGCACAGUGGAAGAAGUACAAAGCAAUGCUUGUGAAUGCAACUGCUGAGAUUGACACUUCUGAAGGGAGAAUCGGUUGUAAUUCUCAAGAGACAACAAAAACAUCAGAGUUAGGAGCUCAAUCUGGCAACCCUUUAAAAGGGAAUGCUGGUGGUCAAUUAUAUAUGCCAAGUGCUUUGGAAGAGGACAGUAUCAUGGACACUGUUGGAGUUAUUUGUGUUGACACUGAAGGACAUAUAGCUUCUGGCAGCUCUAGUGGUGGUAUAGCCCUGAAGGCCAGUGGACGUGUGGGGUUGGGUGCAAUGUAUGGUUCAGGUUGUUGGGCUUCUUCAAAAGGCCCCUUUGGGGCUCCAUUUAUCGUUGGUUGCUGUGUAUCUGGCGCAGGAGAAUAUUUAAUGAAAGGAUUUGCAGCUCGAGAGUGCUGCGUUUCAUCAUCAAUGUAUGAUUGGCUUUUCUUGAUAUGCCUUUGUAUAAGAUUCCUUGGCACCAUGACUCCCACCCUGAAAGGGGGGAAAAUAAUCUCACUUAUGCAUAGAAUUCCUAAAUGAGCUGGGUAAGAGCUUGUCGGAGUUGAAUUCAUUUCAGAGUAGUCCUUGGCUAGUUCUAAGAAAAUUUACUCUUUUGAUUAUAAGCCAGUUGAAAAAGACAUGGGCAUCUUUUCUUCCAUAGGACUUUAGAGAUUUGCUUUGAUGCUUUAGUUCGUACAUAAUUUUGUAAUGUAGCUCAAUUUCCUGAUAUUGUGACAAUCUGAAAUUUUUAGUCUGUGAUAUCUCUUAGAUUAACAAGCUAGUUUUAAUGUUUAGUUCUCAGGCUGGUCCAGCCUCUGCCAGCAUUAAAGUUCUACGUUCUGUAAAUGCGGAUAGCAGUCAAAACUUUAGUGAUCAAAGUGCAGGAAUUUUACUUGUGCAAGCUGAUGCUCCUGUGGUGGCAGUAGGAAAUUUGCCACAGCUGAAAGCCAUAGAGAUUGCAGCUUCAUACACUUCCUUGUCUUUUGGGAUAGGAUAUUUUGGGAGCUCUAUGGAACGACCCAAGGUGUCUGUGCUUCGAAAUAAGAAACAGCAAGGCAAAUCUGGAAUAGACCACUUUGAAGCACGAAUUGAUCUUUCUGCCAAAUUUCUGUAACUAGAAUUAUGCGUAGCUGAAUUUGGACGUCCAUUAUGAAAGCAGGAGAAAGUAAGAGCUGAUUUUGGCAUUAUUGAAAUUUGUCCUUUUUACGGAUGUUGGGCAAUCAAUGAACUUGCAAUGGAUAUAUUUCAGAAGUGAAGGGGUGCUUACUGCUCUGGCUGCAUUCUAGGUCCUGUACACUACACCUUUUUUCUUUUUUCAAUUAAGCCCUUGGAUUUUAAUUAGUAAUACUAGGCCGAACUUUUCUCGUCCUUAUUAGAUUGAUGGAAUGAUAAUAAUAAUAAUAAAAAUUGAAGAGUUUAAGACCAAGAGAUUCUCUGCAACAAUGGCGACAAUUUCUAGAGAUUUUUAUAUUUUUAUUUAAUUAUCAGAGGAUAUAAAAAUGGAGUAAGAAAGAGAAGAAGUGGACUGUGUACUGUGGAU